ensembl:piRNA 21ur-3219 ncRNA
UAGGAGGAAGCAUUGUGCAUA